rnacentral:rRNA from 1 species
AGUGAACGCUGGCGGCAGGCCUAACACAUGCAAGUCGAGCGGCAGCGCGGGGGCAACCCUGGCGGCGAGCGGCGGACGGGUGAGGAAUUCGUCGGAAUCUGCCUUUUUGUGGGGGAUAACGUAGGGAAACUUACGCUAAUACCGCAUACGUCCUACGGGAGAAAGUGGGGGACCGCAAGGCCUCACGCAGAAAGAUGAGCCGACGACCGAUUAGCUAGUUGGUGGGGUAAAGGCCCACCAAGGCGACGAUCGGUAGCUGGUCUGAGAGGAUGAUCAGCCACACUGGGACUGAGACACGGCCCAGACUCCUACGGGAGGCAGCAGUGGGGAAUAUUGGACAAUGGGCGCAAGCCUGAUCCAGCCAUGCCGCGUGUGUGAAGAAGGCCUUCGGGUUGUAAAGCACUUUUGUCCGGAAAGAAAUCCCUGGAGCUAAUACCUGCGGGGGAUGACGGUACCGGAAGAAUAAGCACCGGCUAACUUCGUG